rnacentral:lncRNA from 1 species
UAUUGUUGUUUGAUGGAAGUAUGUUUUUUUUAGGGUAACUUGCUAAGUGGUAACUAAUAACUACCACAAGUUUUUACAGCCAGUGGAAAGGCUUGAGGUUUCUUCUAAGACAAUGAAAGAACUUGGUAUGACAGAUUAAUAAAGGCAGCAUGUGGUCUAUUAUAUGAACAGUAGACUUUAAGGAGACAGGGAGGGUGGAGAGGGACCAAGUAAAACAUUUCUACAAUGGCUCAAGUCAAAGUUGAUUAUGACAUAGACAAAGACAAGAAAUAAAUAGAAGUUAUCAAAAAGGCUUGGUUUGGAAGAUCUCUUAGAGAUAGGAAUGAAAAGAGGGGGGUGGUGGGAGAAAGAACUACAGAAAUGUUCCAGAUUUACUACUCGAUAUAUAUUUUUAAAAAAAUUCUCCAAAGCUCAGAAUAGAGAAUUUGCCAAAAAGCCCAUCACUCAUGAUUCAUUUGUCAUAAGCCUCUACUCAUUACCAUGAAAUUAUUCAGUCAUAAUUGCUGUCUUACUGAAGCAUACAGUUGACACAGUGAAGUCUCUGCUUUCACAGAACUUUAUACUUCUGAGUAAUGACUUUGUCUAUGCCAUGGGAUGGACGUCCUAUUCAUAUUGUGUCAAUAAACCUCAAUUAACAAUGUAAAAUUAAUGAAAAUAAUGUGAGUUAUUUAUAUUAGUUUAUGUGGUAGAAGAGUACUUAAUGACAACAAACUUGGUGUAUGUGAAUAUUAAAUUAUUGUAAAUUAUUUAAAAACAAUAAGAACUAGCCUUACAUUUCACCCCCCUGGACACUGUUUUCAAGAGAAGGAAGGAAACAUUCAAGAAAAAAUAAGAUAUAACUUAGCAUAAAUAAACAGAAAGAAUAUAAAUCUCUUUCACUUUUCUUUUUUUUAAUUUGGCAAUAGAACUGUUGAUAUUACCACACUAUCUGGCUCUCUCUUUUUCCUUUAUCAGUAAACUACCCACAUUUUAACUGGGCACAUUCCUGUCAAUCUGAUGAGAAUCUAUUUCAUACCCUGCUUUAGCUGGUAGUCUGUCAAGGAAAUGAGCUGAACAUGUCUGUGUACAGCUUUUGUGCCAUCCCUGGAUGAGCGAGCUGUCUGCCUCUAUGUUCUCCACAAAAUGGAAUAUAGCUGUACACCCAAGCCAAGUUAUGGAGGCUGGGAAGACCUAGAAUGUGGCAUCACUAUUUGCUGAAAUUUUUAAUAUAAUGCCUCUUAGCCUGGUUUGGAGAAAACGUCACAGAGAGGCACCAUUUGUUGUGGUUUUACAUGAAAAUUUUCUGACCCUGAACCUGGUUUGAUGGAAAUCAUUUGCUGAGGUUAUUUAGAAAAUUGUUACCUCAAAAAUGACCUAGGGGUCCUUAGAAUAAUAACACACAGAAGAAUAGCCUCAUUUUUCUGUUGGGCCCAGGAAACCAUGCCGAUUACCGACCGAGCUCUCAAUGGAAAAAUGCAGUCGGCGUGAACCACGCACGAACACAGCAGAGAAAGAAGAAAACACACACCACGAGGAACCCUAAUAGGACAAUACAUUAUAAGCCUCAUGGUACAUCCACUUGGUGUGCUGGGAGAGUCAGGAUGAGGACCUGAGAAGAACAGCAGCUUGAACCUGACUUCAUUUAACAGCCCACUGCCCUCUUGCCAAGAACCCAUCACAGACCUUCCCAGAAGAGAGGGAUGAGCCUCACCUAUGAAUAAGUCCUCAGAAACUCAAAUUUGAUUCUAAUGGAUUGUUUUCUCAGAAAGACUGAGCAUGUCCCCCCACAUCUCUGUCAUUUCCCACAGUAGUAACCUCUGCAGAUGCCACAUAGAAAACAAAACAAAACAAAAAAACAUGAGGUUGGUGGGCAGAUAGGCAGGGUAUAAACAAACAGCCUUGUAACCCAGAAGCUGUGUGAUAUACAGUAAACUUCACAACACUGAAAAGAUGUCCUAUCUGUUAAAAUGGGGUAAUAACAACUACCCGAAUGUUUAGGAAUAGAACUUCAAUAAAUGAUACAUUUUAUAGUACAGCAGACCAUCCUGUAAAGGUUUCAUCCUUCACUGUGGUGAUAAAUAUCCCAAACCACAUUGAAAAGCAUUGCAUCUACAUUUAUCUACACUGUAACUGUACUGUAAAUCAUGGGGGAGGGGAGAAUCAUAAAAACACCACCUGUCACCGUGUCAUUAAAGCAAGUUGGAAGUGAUACUUACAGAAACACAGCAAGAGCACCCCCAGUCACACAGUUCAAUCUCUUAGCAAGCGUUUUCUUUCUAGCCCAGUGGUUCUCAGUUUGGAAUUUUUGGCACUGCCUAGAGAUAGUUUUGUUGUUAAAACUGAGAAAAGAGCCGGGCGUGGUGGCACACGCCUUUAAUCCCAGCACUCAGGAGGCAGAGGCAGG